rnacentral:rRNA from 1 species
CCUACGGGUGGCAGCAGUGAGGAAUAUUGGUCAAUGGGCGCGAGCCUGAACCAGCCAAGUAGCGUGAAGGAUGACUGCCCUACGGGUUGUAAACUUCUUUUAUCAGGGAAUACAGUGCCGCACUUGUCCCUUUUUUUAUGUACUUUAUGAAUAAGGAUCGGCUACCUCCGUGCCAGCAGCCGCGGUAAUACGGAGGAUCCGAGCGUUAUCCGGAUUUAUUGGGUUUAAAGGGAGCGUAGAUGGGUUGUUAAGUCAGUUGUGAAAGUUUGGGGCUCAACCGUAACAUUGCAGUUGAUACUGGCUGUCUUGAGUACAGUUGAGGUAGGCGGAAUGCGUGGUGUAGCGGUGAAAUGCUUAGAUAUCACGAAGAACUCCGAUUGCGAAGGCAGCUUACUAAACCGCCACUGACAUUGAUGCUCGAAAGUGUGGGUAUCGAACAGGAUUAGAUACCCGUGUAGUC